AUACAGAGGGUGCAAGCGUUAAUCGGAAUUACUGGGCGUAAAGCGCGCGUAGGCGGUUUAAUCAGUCGGAUGUGAAAGCCCCGGGCUCAACCUGGGAACUGCAUUCGAUACUGUUAAGCUAGAGUAUGAUAGAGGGAAGUGGAAUUCCAGGUGUAGCGGUGAAAUGCGUAGAUAUCUGGAGGAACAUCAGUGGCGAAGGCGACUUCCUGGACCAAUACUGACGCUGAGGUGCGAAAGCGUGGGGAGCAAACAGAAUUAGAUACCCUAGUAGUCC
rnacentral:rRNA from 1 species